GGGGCCGUAGCUCAGUUGGGAGAGCGCCGCCCUUGCACGGCGGAGGUCAGGGGUUCGAACCCCCUCGGCUCCA
rnacentral:tRNA from 2 species